AACUCAAACCCCACUCUGUUUCAACUCUGCCUUUCUUACUCUAUGUGCCACACUCCCUCUAGCUGCUAUGUACAAAAAUUAUUUAAACCCUAUUAUAUAACAAAAAAUACCAUUUACCUUUAAAUAAAAUGUUAGUUACACAGACUCCAAUCAUUCAGUUCUCGCCAGAAAGUAGGGCCCCAGUCACUAUGCAUUAGGUACAUUAAAAAACCAUUGACAAUAAUGUUCUAUUUCCUCAGGGAUUUUUCUACAGUAACUCAUUUUCAUUGAGUAGAGGUCUAAAAAGCCAAUAUUCAUGAAAGUUUUGUUUAUUACAUCACUGUUUUAUUCAUUCCACCAGUAGCUGUGAAUUCUUGAAACCUGAUAUGUUUCAACCUAUGGUCUAUUUUAUACAGUCUGUCACACACACACUUUCAUUCUUGAGUAUACAACUAUUUUGUAUUAUCUUCCUAUCCUUAUAGGCAGCUUGAAACAAUAAUACAGAAGUGUAAACAAUGCUACUUUCAUUUAUGUGGUUUGACUGUUAAUUCUAAUGCCAGAUGAUGGGAACAGCUACCUGAUAACUCAUCAUUUUAGUGAUGGAAAGCAGGUAGAAGGGCAAGAAUGAAGCACAAAGUUGGGUAAGAAUUAGUAGCUGCUGCAUAGAAGAAAAUGCAGAGGGGGAAAAGGAGAAGAUGCACAAAGAAAGGAUGGAGAAGGAGUAGAAACAAAAGACAGAAGUAGGGAUCAUCAAUUGUAUAAUUAGUGAUGGGCAAGAGAGAUCAUGAGCCCAGGUGCUGACUAGGCAGGGGCACUGGAACAGAGGCACAGGGGCUUAAGACUUUGGUAGUUUCUGCAGCAGUGCAGAGAAGGAGAGCAGGAGGAAGUGACCAAAACCCAGUAGCCAGGGAAUGGAGAUAAGGGAGUUUGAGCCUCUGGAGCUAGGGGAGAGGGAGGAAGAUGGAGCCUGGGAAUUAAUUUGGCAUUUUAUAUAGUUGUUCAACAUGGCUUUCAGUACCACCCUCAAGCCUGUUUUCCUGCAGCCCCAGCUGCUAGGUCAUGACCACUUGCUUCUCUGCUUGCUCCCCAGCUGCUAAGUCAUAGCCACUUACUCCUAUGCCAGUGCAAGCCAUACCUCCUGGAGCCCCACACCUGCACCCACUGGCUGCUGGGUCCUGGCCACUUCCUACCACUCCAUCAUUACAAAGCCCAUAGUCGCUUGAGCCUAGAACCCCUCCCCCCACCUCUAUUCUAGUGUCCUCCUCUCAUGCUAGGUAUUCCUCUACUGCCCAGGUGCCAAAAAUAAGAGUGAUGCCUCUGGCAGUCUGUGGCAGGGCAGAAAACAGGCAGCAGCCAAGUGCCUGAUGAGGGCAGCCACUUUGAGACCCAGAGAUAGAAGCUGGUCUGCAGUUUGCUGUAGGAGGAAGGAGAUAACGUUAGGCUGAGAGGCUGCUCUGGGAAUAUCAGGAGGCGUGGCAGAAGAGUGAAUUGGGCAGUUACCCCAGGAGCAGGGCAGCCGGAAGAGACCUGACAAGGAUGCCACCCUGUUACACAGUUGUUCUAAACUUAACGAUGCUGAAAAGUAUUGAAAAUAAUACAAAGUAAUAACAUUUUGGUGUUUAGCUACUACUUAAACUAUACUCAGCUCUUGAUCAGUGUGCAGAUUUUUCAGUUAUAUCAGUAGAAUUUCCAUUGGAGAAUGGUAGGAAUUUGCCAUCCCAAAUAUACAGCCUGGUCAAUACCCCAUGAUUAUAAGGGUUCAACCUUUCUUCAGUACUCUAUAUUAUUUCCUUUACCUGUCCACAUGAAUAUUAUUGGGAAUUCUCAUUAGUCUUGUAUUAAAAACCUUGAAAUUUUUUAUGCAUGACUCUGUAUGUCCACAUAUGAGGAGACAGUGGCAAAACUACUUGAAGAAAAAUGAGAUUGACACUUGUUUACAUCUUUUUAAAAGUGUUUGAACCCUUUUAUUUGUUUUUGAGCUAAACAAACUUUGUGUGGGGACUUACUGAUUUUCUUAUUGCAAAGAAAAUUCACACUUACUAGCUACCCUUAAAAGUACAACAGAACAACAAUCUUCAGGGAACAAAGUCUUCAAGUAAUUUGGGAUGAGGCAGAGUUUCCUAGGGAAGCUAAACAGAAUAGCAGGAAAUCUAGUGGUAAAUAAGUGAUUUCACUUCCUGGCAUUUUGCCCAAACAGACUGUUCAACUGAGUAUUUUAGAACAUUCAGCUGAGAAUAAGAAAUCCAGACAAGGAAGAGAAAAUCCAACAAAGCAGCUGGGAGAUGGGGAAGCAGCAGGUGCUGAUAUAUAGAAGUAGUUAAUUCAGAAUGUAAAAGAAAAUAGAAGGAAGGGCGCGUUCUGAGCUUAGUGAAAUAAUUGUUGUCUAGGAGGAUAUGGGAGGAGUACAGCCCCUUUGCAGAAACAGCAACUUCCAUUCUUUGUGUGGAGUGAGCCAAUUCAAAAUGGAGAUUUGGUCAUUUUACAAAAUGCUUUUUGUUUCAACUUUAUAAACAACCCUUUUUGAAGCACUUUUGUCUCCAACACUUGACUCCUUUCAGCUGUUCCUAAUCUUUUGUUUGAGAGAUGUGGAGGCAGAAAUUUUAAAAUUAUUCAUCCACUUUAAAAUGUGGAAAAGAUUUGUACUGUACCGUACACAGGUGUUUUUCUGUCUUAUUGAAUGAUGACGUGUUCAUAUGUUCUUUAUUUGAGGGUGUCCAUACUCUCUUGUCAUAAAAAAACAAAACAACCUG